rnacentral:rRNA from 1 species
CUUAAAGGAAUUGACGGGGCCGCACAAGCGGUGGAGCAUGUGGUUUAAUUCGACGCAACGCGCAGAACCUUACCUGGGUUUGACAUCUCGGGAAUCUUGUGGAAACACGAGAGUGCCCUUCGGGGAGCCCGAAGACAGGUGCUGCACGGCUGUCGUCAGCUCGUGUCGUGAGAUGUCGGGUUAAGUCCCGCAACGAGCGCAACCCUUGUCUUUAAUUGCCAUCAUUGAGUUGGGCACUUUAAAGAGACUGCCGGUGUUAAACCGGAGGAAGGUGGGAUGACGUCAAGUCCUCAUGGCCUUUAUGCCCAGAGCUACACACGUGCUACAAUGGGUGGUACAAAGAGCAGCCAGCUCGCGAGGGGGAGCCAAUCCCAUAAAGCCAUUCGUAGUCCGGAUCGCAGUCUGCAACUCGACUGCGUGAAGUCGGAAUCGCUAGUAAUCGUGGAUCAGAAUGUCACGGUGAAUACGUUCCCGGGUCUU